rnacentral:rRNA from 2 species
AGAGUUUGAUCAUGGCUCAGAUUGAACGCUGGCGGCAGGCCUAACACAUGCAAGUCGAGCGGUAGCACAGAGAGCUUGCUCUCGGGUGACGAGCGGCGGACGGGUGAGUAAUGUCUGGGAAACUGCCUGAUGGAGGGGGAUAACUACUGGAAACGGUAGCUAAUACCGCAUAACGUCGCAAGACCAAAGUGGGGGACCUUCGGGCCUCAUGCCAUCAGAUGUGCCCAGAUGGGAUUAGCUAGUAGGUGGGGUAACGGCUCACCUAGGCGACGAUCCCUAGCUGGUCUGAGAGGAUGACCAGCCACACUGGAACUGAGACACGGUCCAGACUCCUACGGGAGGCAGCAGUGGGGAAUAUUGCACAAUGGGCGCAAGCCUGAUGCAGCCAUGCCGCGUGUGUGAAGAAGGCCUUCGGGUUGUAAAGCACUUUCAGCGGGGAGGAAGGCGAUAAGGUUAAUAACCUUGGCGAUUGACGUUACCCGCAGAAGAAGCACCGGCUAACUCCGUGCCAGCAGCCGCGGUAAUACGGAGGGUGCAAGCGUUAAUCGGAAUUACUGGGCGUAAAGCGCACGCAGGCGGUCUGUCAAGUCGGAUGUGAAAUCCCCGGGCUCAACCUGGGAACUGCAUUCGAAACUGGCAGGCUAGAGUCUUGUAGAGGGGGGUAGAAUUCCAGGUGUAGCGGUGAAAUGCGUAGAGAUCUGGAGGAAUACCGGUGGCGAAGGCGGCCCCCUGGACAAAGACUGACGCUCAGGUGCGAAAGCGUGGGGAGCAAACAGGAUUAGAUACCCUGGUAGUCCACGCCGUAAACGAUGUCGAUUUGGAGGUUGUGCCCUUGAGGCGUGGCUUCCGGAGCUAACGCGUUAAAUCGACCGCCUGGGGAGUACGGCCGCAAGGUUAAAACUCAAAUGAAUUGACGGGGGCCCGCACAAGCGGUGGAGCAUGUGGUUUAAUUCGAUGCAACGCGAAGAACCUUACCUGGUCUUGACAUCCACAGAACUUUCCAGAGAUGGAUUGGUGCCUUCGGGAACUGUGAGACAGGUGCUGCAUGGCUGUCGUCAGCUCGUGUUGUGAAAUGUUGGGUUAAGUCCCGCAACGAGCGCAACCCUUAUCCUUUGUUGCCAGCGGUUAGGCCGGGAACUCAAAGGAGACUGCCAGUGAUAAACUGGAGGAAGGUGGGGAUGACGUCAAGUCAUCAUGGCCCUUACGACCAGGGCUACACACGUGCUACAAUGGCAUAUACAAAGAGAAGCGACCUCGCGAGAGCAAGCGGACCUCAUAAAGUAUGUCGUAGUCCGGAUUGGAGUCUGCAACUCGACUCCAUGAAGUCGGAAUCGCUAGUAAUCGUAGAUCAGAAUGCUACGGUGAAUACGUUCCCGGGCCUUGUACACACCGCCCGUCACACCAUGGGAGUGGGUUGCAAAAGAAGUAGGUAGCUUAACCUUCGGGAGGGCGCUUACCACUUUGUGAUUCAUGACUGGGGUGAAGUCGUAACAAGGUAACCGUAGGGGAACCUGCGGUUG